UGAAGAUAUUCUAUCAAGUCUACCAAAAAUGUCUCAAGGAACAGAAUGCACAAGCAUGGAUUCCAGAAGCGGUUCGAUGUGUAUUAUACAAGCUGGAAAUAAUUGACGAUAAGAGUGCAAUAUAAAAGAUAAACUUUUUACACAAUACGGAUAUAUCA